GAGCGCGGGGAUUAUCUAACUGGUUCUGAAUCUGAUGAAGAAAUGCAGGCAUGAGGAGGGAAAGGAUCUGGCUCUAUAGUGUCCCAGUGCAAGCACAAGCCAGCGAUGGACUAUAGUCGGACAUACGCUAACCUGGGUUUCCCUGCAAAACUGUCACCUUAAACCAGUCAAGGUCCGCAGAAUGCUGAGUCCCAUUGUCCCAUAUAAAUGUCUCAAAGACCUGGUGGAAUAUUUCACAUUCCUUCAAGACAUUGUCACUGACUUUUAUUUUUGUGUUAUAUCUGAGUAUUUUAGCUGGCUCACUCUGAAGUGACUGGAGUAGCUGGACAGAGCCUGUUCGUCCAGUGUUACAACACUCGGCGGCUUUAAUGGAACUGGUCCGGUUUUUGUUGGUGGGAGCUGGUGUGAUCUGAUGAGAACAGGCUGUUUGUGUGUCUUUCUGAGCAUGUAGUGUGAUGUUAGGACAGCACACACGGGUGUUAGAUAUCCCUGAUGUUUACUCUCUAAGCACUUAAACACAGGAAAAUUCCUUCCUCUCCCAAGCCCUUUCACCAGUCCUGAUAUAGUCUCACUGUGGUAAAGACUUUAUGGUAAACAUAAAGAAAAAGGAAAGAAAAUGUUUGAUAGUAUAACAAAAUGUUGUUCCUAAUAAUGUUGGACGUUUUGUUUCACACAAUGGAAAGGAAAGCUGGUGUUUUCAAAAGACGCAAAAAGAAAUAAAAACCAAAAAGAACUGGAGUUACAAGGUUUUGUUAUGAUGGUGGUGGCAUUCUGUUGCACAUAUUUCCUCAGUGUCUGAGUCAUCUGAACACAAGCCCAUGUGAAUAGUGUCACGUCCAUGCUGGAAUGUUUUUUUGUGGAAGGAGCCAGUGUUCUCUGCACUUCUGUCCAUAAAGCAUAAGCAUACGUAUACACAUAUACACAUACACUUUCUUAUAGGAUCUCUCAUGCUUUCAC
ensembl:lncRNA